GUGCCAGCAGCCGCGGUAAGACGAACCGUCCAAACGUUAUUCGGAAUUACUGGGCUUAAAGGGUGCGUAGGCGGCGCGGAAAGUUGGGUGUGAAAUCCCUCGGCUCAACCGAGGAACUGCGCCCAAUACUACCGUGCUUGAGGGAGAUAGAGGUGAGCGGAACUUAGGGUGGAGCGGUGAAAUGCGUUGAUAUCCUAAGGAACACCGGUGGCGAAAGCGGCUCACUGGAUCUCUUCUGACGCUGAGGCACGAAAGCUAGGGUAGCGAACGGGAUUAGAAACCCCAGUAGUCC
rnacentral:rRNA from 1 species